rnacentral:rRNA from 1 species
UACGUAGGUGGCGAGCGUUGUCCGGAUUUACCGGGCGUAAAGGAUGCGUAGGCGGAUAUUUAAGUGAGAUGUGAAAUACCCGAGCUUAACUUGGGUGCUGCAUUUCAAACUGGAUAUCUAGAGUGUGGGAGAGGAGAAUGGAAUUCCUAGUGUAGCGGUGAAAUGCGUAGAGAUUAGGAAGAACACCAGUGGCGAAGGCGAUUCUCUGGACCAUAACUGACGCUGAGGCAUGAAAGCGUGGGUAGCAAACAGG